rnacentral:rRNA from 1 species
AGAGUUUGAUCCUGGCUCAGGACGAACGCUGGCGGCGUGCUUAACACAUGCAAGUCGAACGGAAAGGCCCUUUCGGGGGUGCUCGAGUGGCGAACGGGUGAGUAACACGUGAGCAAUCUGCCCUUCACAUCGGGAUAACCCCCGGAAACGGGAGCUAAUACCGGAUACGACCACUUCAGGCAUCUGAUGGUGGUGGAAAGUUCCGGCGGUGGAGGAUGAGCUCGCGGCCUAUCAGCUUGUUGGUGAGGUAAUGGCUCACCAAGGCUUCGACGGGUAGCCGGCCUGAGAGGGUGACCGGCCACACUGGGACCGAGACACGGCCCAGACUCCUACGGGAGGCAGCAGUGGGGAAUAUUGCGCAAUGGGCGAAAGCCUGACGCAGCGACGCCGCGUGUGGGAUGACGGCCUUCGGGUUGUAAACCACUGUCGGGAGGGACGAAUGCGCCGCAAGGCGAGUGACGGUACCUCCAAAGGAAGCACCGGCUAACUACGUGCCAGCAGCCGCGGUAAUCAAUCGCC